rnacentral:rRNA from 10 species
ACGACUCUCGGCAACGGAUAUCUCGGCUCUUGCAUCGAUGAAGAACGUAGCGAAAUGCGAUACUUGGUGUGAAUUGCAGAAUCCCGUGAACCAUCGAGUCUUUGAACGCAAGUUGCGCCCGAAGUCUUUUAGACCGAGGGCACGUCUGCCUGGGCGUCA